rnacentral:lncRNA from 1 species
CAUUAAAAUACGCAACCAACCGUCAUUGAACCGUCCAAUCAGAUCAAAGGAGUAAUCGUUGUAGAUCGUGCGUUAUCGAUGAUGUUCGGUACCUGGAGAAAAUUGACAAUUGACAAGAGAAUUAAUUGUUUAUUAUUUUUGACUUUUUAGUUCGUUUAAUUUAAUAAUUACUAAAACCAGUAGUUCGAAAGAUAUAUUUAAAAAUAAAAGAUAAAAAUCCAAAAAUUAAUUAUCUAUUAACGUGGAUUUGGACGACAAUAGGUUUUUAGUUUGUGAUGUUUCAUGUGAUGAUCAUUUUCAUGUUCAUCGUCUUUGAAUUGACAUGAGGAUAUCUAUGGAAAAGUAACUAAUCUGAAAGUAAGCCAACAUAUCUUUGUCCUUUGUGUGCUAAAGAAAAGAUUUUCUUUUCGCAUCGUGAGGAAGUAUUACAUCAAUUAAAAAAUGUUAGGAAGUUGAUUACUUGUCAUGGAAAAGUAUACCAAUGGAAAUUAUUUGUUAAAGAAGUAUAAUUCUAAGGGUUUUAAGAAUAAAUUGGUUGAACCCAAAAUCUGGAGGAAGUACCUAUAUCCAUACACAGAAUAUGCCCAUUAAGAAUACUAGUCCAAAUUUGCUUUAAUGGAACGAUUAGGGCCCGAUAUAUUUGAAACU